GGCCUCUUUACGAGUUGGCUCCUCAAUGACUUGUAUUAGAGACAAUCCCAGUAGGGAGCUUAGAAUAUGUGUGCUCAUGGCACAAGCAGCUAUUUUGGUUUUCCAGUUCACAUCAGGAAGAUUAAAGUCACCCAUGAUAAUAACUUCCCCCUUCAUUGUCAUUUUAGCUAUUUCCUCAACUAGUAUAUUAUCUAACUCUUCUAUUUGUCCUG
rnacentral:lncRNA from 1 species